UACGUAGGGUGCGAGCGUUGUCCGGAUUUAUUGGGCGUAAAGGGCUCGUAGGCGGCCUGUCGCGUCGGGAGUGAAAGCCCACUGCUUAACGGUGGGUCUGCUUCCGGUACGGGCGGGCUGGAGUAUGGCAGGGGAGACUGGAAUUCCUGGUGUAGCGGUGGAAUGCGCAGAUAUCAGGAGGAACACCGGUGGCGAAGGCGGGUCUCUGGGCCACUACUGACGCUGAGAAGCGAAAGCAUGGGGAGCGAACAGG
rnacentral:rRNA from 1 species